rnacentral:piRNA from 1 species
UGGAUGACCAUGAUGUGGUGAAGCCUACCU